CAGAAAUGGUUUUAGUGCAAUAAAAUGUAGGAUGAAUUACCUACAACUGUCAAAUUCAAGGGAAUAUUUUUUUUCGACCUACUUUCGUAUACAACUGUAUGUGACGUACCAUGAUUUGGUGGUAUUACACCUAUAUUAAAUAAUGCAGAAUUGUCCACUUUAAGAUAUGUAGUGGUUCUGUUUAUCUAAUAAGCCACUUGUAAAUUAUAGUACCACUUUUCACAUUUGUUCUUAAACCCUUUUCUGCAUUUAUCGUCUCCAACUUAUCAUUUUGAUAUAAGUUAGCUAAGAUGAUAAUACCUGCUGUUUUUGUUAUUU
rnacentral:lncRNA from 1 species